GGAGAGGUGUACCGAAUGGCAAGGUACCGCUCUCGAAAAGCGGCGGGUAGAAAUACCCUUGUGGGUUCAAGUCCCACCCUCUCCG
rnacentral:tRNA from 1 species